CGGCGGAUCGAAGUCGUGUGUGAGUAGCUCCGUAUUUUCCGCGAAUAUUUCUGGCGAAAAGUGAAUUCUGUUUGCGAGAAAUUGUCGGAAGUGUCUCGUAAAGUGUUCGUCGUAACGUGAACGUAGAGUACGCGUCGUUAUUAUACGUCCAUAUCGUCUACGCGGCAUCGUUUGUGUAAGGGCAAUCAAUGCGUUCCCGCGGAAUUGCGAAAUCAUCCUCUUUGUAAUAAUUCAAGCCGUUUUCUCCCCGAAAUGCAACGAAAAUGCAUCGAGCAUUAAAUUAUUGCCAGAUUAACUUAGGCUACAUAGUCAAUUUCGCUCCAUCAAUCGGUGAAUAAUAAAUUUUUAUUAUUUGGUAAAGAACGUCAAGGAAUACCGCGUGUUGCGCGCAUUCGAAUUCGGCGGGAGUGCCGUGAAAAUGUCGCGUGUUUAUUUUUAUUAAUUUUAAUUUCGGAAAUGCCGUGCAAAUACAUUAUUAUGCCAUACUAAUGUCGAAUUUUUAAGAGACUUGUUUUAUAUCGAAUAUCAGGAUAUCGAUUCGCGAUAGCGGAAUUCGGGAAUGUCGUGCGGAUCUCGUGCAUUUAUUUUUAUUACCACCGCGAACAAUUCGCGUUCGACCGUCAUUAAUAAUUUUUCGUGAAUAAAGUGCAGUGCGUAAAUGUAACGAACUCUAAGAAGACAAUCUGACAGUCUGCCAAUGAGAGGAGGAGGAGGUCUGGGAGACAUCGGGCGAUAGCGGAGCAACCUUGUGAUUGAUUUAGUCGUAGUCAAUUUCGUUACAUCGGUCGGUGA